rnacentral:rRNA from 1 species
GAUGAACGCUGGCGGCGUGCCUAAUACAUGCAAGUCGAGCGAACGGACGAGAGGCUUGCUUCUCUGAUGUUAGCGGCGGACGGGUGAGUAACACGUGGAUAACCUACCUAUAAGACUGGGAUAACUUCGGGAAACCGGAGCUAAUACCGGAUAAUAUUCUGAACCGCAUGGUUCAAAAGUGAAAGACGGUCUUGCUGUCACUUAUAGAUGGAUCCGCGCUGCAUUAGCUAGUUGGUAAGGUAACGGCUUACCAAGGCAACGAUGCAUAGCCGACCUGAGAGGGUGAUCGGCCACACUGGAACUGAGACACGGUCCAGACUCCUACGGGAGGCAGCAGUAGGGAAUCUUCCGCAAUGGGCGAAAGCCUGACGGAGCAACGCCGCGUGAGUGAUGAAGGUCUUCGGAUCGUAAAACUCUGUUAUUAGGGAAGAACAUAUGUGUAAGUAACUGUGCACAUCUUGACGGUACCUAAUCAGAAAGCCACGGCUAACUACGUG